rnacentral:rRNA from 1 species
CGAGGAUUCCCUUAGUAACGGCGAGUGAACGGGGAAGAGCCCAGCGCUAAAUCUCGACGCUCUAACGGGUGUCGAGAGGUGUAGCGUAUAGCAGGCGAUUUUCCUUGAUAGCUGUCGACUUAAGUUCUCCUUGACUGGGGUUCCAUAGAAGGUGAAAGGCCUGUUCAGUCGAUGGCUGUCUUGGAUUCCGCUCUGCUUGGAGUCGGGUUGUUUGGGAACGCAGCCCAAAUUUGGUGGUAAACUUCAUCUAAGGCUAAAUACGGCCACGAAACCGAUAGCAAACAAGUACCGUGAGGGAAAGUUGAAAAGUACUUUGAAGAGAGAGUUCAAGAGGACGUGAAACCGGUAGGAUGGAAACGGAUAGAGCCAACGAACAAGCCCGUAUUCAGCUAGUCGGCUUCGUGCGGCAUGCUUGGAUCUCCCGUAUGGGGAUCUGAGUGUGUGCGGCAUGCGGCUGGCUAGUGCAUUUGCGGGUGAUGUGCGCUGAGGCGUGUGGUGGAGUGCUGCAAACUGCGUAGAGAGGCCUCGUCUUCGGACUUGGAACCUAUGCGUGGGGAGUAGUGUUUCUGCUGCAUGUAGAUAUGCGGUUAGGUGCAAUCGCACUGCUGCGUUGUCGGGUCGGUUCGUUGGGCGGUCGCAUGCGACUUGCUCUUUGGGCUGGCUUUGGUGGCGUAGUAGUGCCCUAAUCGAUCCUCGGUGUAAAAGUUGGUUAUCUCUCCGACCCGUCUUGAAACACGGACCAAGGAGUCUAGCGUAUGCGCGAGUCAUUGGGUGGAAAACCCAUAGGCGAAAUGAAAGUGAAGGCAUCUUCCGAUGCUGAUAUGCGAUCCGUAGUGCUUCGGCGCUGCGGAGCAGCAUAGCCCCGUCUCUACCGCUUGCGGUGGGGCGGAGGUAGAGCGUAUUCGCUGGUACCCGAAAGAUGGUGAACUAUGCCUGAGCAGGAUGAAGCCAGAGGAAACUCUGGUGGAGGUCCGAAGCGCUUCUGACGUGCAAAUCGAUCGUCUGACUUGGGUAUAGGGGCGAAAGACUAAUCGAACCAUC